UUGACAUCUUCUGCAAAGCUAUAGAGAUAUAGUGGAGGUUAACAGAAUGACAGAUGGUGCAUGGUUGUCGUCAGCUCGUGUCGUGAGAUGUUCGGUUAAGUCCUGCAACGAGCGCAACCCUUGUCCUUAGUUACUUUAUCUAAGGAGACUGCCCGAGUAAUUGGGAGGAAGGUGGGGACGACGUCAAAUCAUCAUGCCUCUUACGAGUGGGGCAACACACGUGCUACAAUGGACGAUACAAAGAGAAGCAAAAUAGUGAUAUCAAGCAAAUCUCAAAAAAUCGUUCUCAGUUCGGAUUGUAGUCUGCAACUCGACUACAUGAAGUCGGAAUCGCUAGUAAUCGUAGAUCAGCUACGCUACGGUGAAUACGUUCUCGGGGUUUGUAC
rnacentral:rRNA from 1 species